AGUAAUUAAACAUAAAGGAGAGAAGUUCUCCCGCCAGCUGUCCUGCGUCACUCCUUCAGUUCUCAGCUUAGAUUUCCUGUCCUUGGGAAGCUGUCAUCAUCCUUCUAUCUUUACACCCCAUGAUUUACCCCUUGCAGUGUACUUAUUACACUGUAUUGGAAUCGCUUCUUUUCUCUUUCUCUGUGAAUUUCUUGAGAGCACAGACUACAUUCUGCUUAACUUUUUAUCCCCAGCUUUCAGCACAGUGCCUGGCUUGUCUGAGGCGCAUGGCCCCGGGAGAGGAGGAGAAUGGGACGGUGGUUCAGAUCUGCUGAUGUAGCUGUGGUCAGUCACUGGGGAGAAUAGGCCUGUGGAUUUCUGCUCCUCUGAGAUGGAUCCAUCACUGACUACUGAACUUGUUUUCUCAUUGGCUCAACUUAAGAAGGUUCUAGAGGGAACUGACUUCUUCCUCCUCAUGGUCCACUUGAAAUUCCAGGAAAAGGAACAGAUGUGCAAGGAAUUGCAGCCUGGAGAAACAUAGUGUAUUUGGAGACUUGCAUGUAAAUGGAUAAGUAGGUGUAGGAGGAGAAGCUGGGUCACAUUUUCCUAAAUUUUAUUCCACAAAACACUAGUUCUGUGAGACGCUCUAUGGAAAUUGGUCCCAUGAUCAGUACAUUUGGGGCAUGCUGCAUGUUGUAUUCCCUGUUGUCUUAUAUUGGAUUUCCUAAAAAUAGACUCUGAGGUGGAGACUUAUGUGCAGAAGGUCUCUUGGCGAAUGCUCCAGGGAGGCGUGCGUGUAAGGAAGUGAGACAGACCCACCUCAGGCCCCUGGGACUUCCACUGGCCAGACGCCCUGUGCCUACUUGUGUCAUGGGAUACAGGGCCCAUCUCUUCCCAUCUCCACACUCUGACCACACGCUAGUAGCUUGAAAUCAGCCAUGGUGCAACUAUUGGCAUCACAAAAAUGGACAAAUGCUUCAAACUGGGGCCUGACUUAUUGUUUUGUUGAUUGCCAGGCUUAAAAAGUGAUGGAAAGGAUGCUAAUAAUGCAUAUUAAACCAAAAAAGUGCGUCAUGUCUGUAGCUGUGACAUUGUGAAUAGCACAAGCAUUGAGGUUACAUGCUUCUGAUAUUUGAAAACCCUUAUUGGAUUCAACAAAGAAUUCACUCAUGUCAUUGUCUAUCAGGUGAAGCUCUGAUGCACAUUUUUUGCUUUCACUUUUGCCUUAUUCAUUAAUAUAAACAGAAUGUCAAUCAACCUUCAUGUUGUGUCUACGCUCAAUCAUCCCUGAUGACCCUACGCUGACUACAGAUGCAGAAUUCAGCAAAAACCAAUGAAAGCAUUCGGUGAGAAUCAAUGGCUAUAUGGAGCUUA
rnacentral:lncRNA from 1 species